UACGUAGUUAGCCGUGGCUUCCUCCUUGGCUACCGUCAUUAUCGUCACCAAGGACAGAGGUUUACAAUCCGAAAACCUUCUUCCCUCACGCGGCGUCGCUGGGUCAGGGUUUCCCCCAUUGCCCAAUAUUCCCCACUGCUGCCUCCCGUAGGAGUCUGGGCCGUGUCUCAGUCCCAAUGUGGCCGUUCAACCUCUCAGUCCGGCUACCAAUCGUCGGCAUGGUGGGCCUCUACCCCGCCAUCUACCUAAUUGGACGCGAGCCCAUCUCUCAGCGGAUUGCUCCUUUGAUUGCAAAACCAUGCGGCUCUGCAAUGUUAUGCGGUAUUAGCGAUCGUUUCCAAUCGUUAUCCCCCGUCUGAAAGGCAGGUUGCUCACGCGUUACUCACCCGUCCGCCACUCGAAUAUGCCUUCCUCGGCCGAAGCCUUGUCCAGCAUAUCCCCGGUUCGACUUGCAUGUGUUAGGCGCGCCGCCAGCGUCGUCUCGUAGCCACGGAUCGAACUAC
rnacentral:rRNA from 1 species